rnacentral:rRNA from 1 species
CCUACGGGAGGCAGCAGUGAGGAAUAUUGGUCAAUGGCCGCAGGGCUGAACCAGCCAAGUCGCGUGAGGGAUGACGGUCCUAUGGAUUGUAAACCUCUUUUGUCAGGGAGCAAAGGGCGCCACGUGUGGCGCUUUGCGAGUACCUGAAGAAAAAGCAUCGGCUAACUCCGUGCCAGCAGCCGCGGUAAUACGGAGGAUGCGAGCGUUAUCCGGAUUUAUUGGGUUUAAAGGGUGCGCAGGCGGAAUGCCAAGUCAGCGGUAAAAUUUCGGGGCUCAAGCCCGUCGGGCCGUUGAAACUGGCGUUCUUGAGUGGGCGAGAAGUAUGCGGAAUGCGUGGUGUAGCGGUGAAAUGCAUAGAUAUCACGCAGAACUCCGAUUGCGAAGGCAGCAUACCGGCGCUCAACUGACGCUCAUGCACGAAAGCGUGGGUAUCGAACAUGAUUAGAUACCCUUGUAGUC